AAGAGAUAGGGUCCUCACGGGCCCGACCUCCAACCCUUUGUCUACCAAACCUCUGUUGCCUCGGCGGGUCGCCGGCUCCCUUCACGGGGUGCCGCCGUCGGCCUCGUGCUCUCGAGUGCCCGCCGCAGGACUAUUAAAAACUCUUUUUUGAACGAGUAUAAUCUGAGUGGAAUUUAAUGCUUCAAUUA
rnacentral:misc_RNA from 1 species